rnacentral:rRNA from 1 species
AUUGAACGCUGGCGGCAUGCCUUACACAUGCAAGUCGAACGGCAGCACGGGUGCUUGCACCUGGUGGCGAGUGGCGAACGGGUGAGUAAUACAUCGGAACAUGUCCUGUAGCGGGGGAUAGCCCGGCGAAAGCCGGAGUAAUACCGCAUACGAUCCACGGAUGAAAGCGGGGGACCUUCAGGCCUCGCGCGAUAGGGUUGGCCGAUGGCUGAUUAGCUAGUUGGUGGGGUAAAGGCCUACCAAGGCGACGAUCAGUAGCUGGUCUGAGAGGACGACCAGCCACACUGGGACUGAGACACGGCCCAGACUCCUACGGGAGGCAGCAGUGGGGAAUUUUGGACAAUGGGCGAAAGCCUGAUCCAGCAAUGCCGCGUGUGUGAAGAAGGCCUUCGGGUUGUAAAGAACGUUUGUCCGGAAAGAAAUCCUUGACUCUAAUACAGUCGGGGGAUGACGGUAACGGAAGAAUAAGCACCGGCUAACUACGUG